rnacentral:rRNA from 1 species
AUUGAACGCUGGCGGCAGGCCUAACACAUGCAAGUCGAGCGGACGAAGGGAGCUUGCUCCUGGAUUCAGCGGCGGACGGGUGAGUAAUGCCUAGGAAUCUGCCUGGUAGUGGGGGAUAACGUCCGGAAACGGGCGCUAAUACCGCAUACGUCCUGAGGGAGAAAGUGGGGGAUCUUCGGACCUCACGCUAUCAGAUGAGCCUAGGUCGGAUUAGCUAGUUGGUGGGGUAAAGGCCUACCAAGGCGACGAUCCGUAACUGGUCUGAGAGGAUGAUCAGUCACACUGGAUCUGAGACACGGUCCAGACUCCUACGGGAGGCAGCAGUGGGGAAUAUUGGACAAUGGGCGAAAGCCUGAUCCAGCCAUGCCGCGUGUGUGAAGAAGGUCUUCGGAUUGUAAAGCACUUUAAGUUGGGAGGAAGGGCAGUAAGUUAAUACCUUGCUGUUUUGACGUUACCAACAGAAUAAGCACCGGCUAACUUCGUG